GACGAACCGUGCGAACGUUAUUCGGAAUUAUUGGGCGUAAAGCGCGCGCAGGCGGUCCUUUAAGUCUGAUGUGAAAGCCCACGGCUCAACCGUGGAGGGUCAUUGGAAACUGGGGGACUUGAGUGCAGGAGAGAAGAGUGGAAUUCCACGUGUAGCGGUGAAAUGCGUAGAGAUGUGGAGGAACACCAGUGGCGAAGGCGGCUCUCUGGUCUGUAACUGACGCUGAGGCGCGAAAGCGUGGGGAGCGAACAGG
rnacentral:rRNA from 1 species